UGUGGUUGUUUUGUUAAGACAAAGCGCAUAUCACUAAUGCUGUUGUUUUUGUUUUAUGAUAUAUGUAAAUAAUUAAACAUGUUUAUUUUGGUGAUAUGUAUUUCCCAAUCUAAGUGUAAUGUUGCAUUCUCAAUAAAGUACAUUGUUAUACACGUGGAAUAGUAUUGCUAAGUGACAAUUUGUUGUCUUUACAAAUAAAAACCGCAAGGAUUGUCGUAUCAAUUUUAUAGCUUUCCCCUAUUGAACUGGUGUAAAAACGUGACCGUGAGCUCAUUUUGUUUAAUGUUAACUGCCAAUAUAUAUAUAUAUAUAUAUAUAUAUAUAUAUAUAUAUAUAUAUAUAGAAAGAAAUUGUUCAAACAGUGUAAAAAAUGUGUAUCUUAUACCCUAGCGCUUUUGACUACACGUCUUCUUCAGGGGUGUAUACAGAUAUGAGUUAACGAUUCCCCAGUGCAAAUGCACAAAAGAGGUUAACUUAUUGGCUUUCAGUCUUGUUUUUUUUAGUUAUGUGUCGUUUUAUUUUUUAUGCCCCCCUUCGAAGAAGAGGGGGUAUAUUGCUUUGCUCAUGUCGGUCGGUCUGUCGGUCCGUCCACCAGGUGGUUGUCAGAUGAUAACUCAAGAACGCUUGGGCCUAGGAUCAUGAAACUUCAUAGGUACAUUGAUCAUGACUCGCAGAUGACCCCUAUUGAUUAUGAGGUCACUAGGUCAAAGGUCAAGGUCACGGUGACCCGAAAUAGAAAAAAUGGUUUCUGGAUGACAACUCAAGAACGCUUAGGCGUAGGAUCAUGAAACUUGAUAGGUAGAUUGAUCAUGACUUGCAGAUGACCCCUAUUGAUUUUCAGGUCACUAGGUAAAGGUCAAGGUCACGGUGACCCGAAAUAGUAAAAUGGUUUCCGGAUGAUAACUCAAGAAUGCUUAGGCCUAGGAUCAUGAAACUUCAUAGGUACAUUGAUCAUGACUCGCAGAUGACCCCUAUUGAUUUUCAGGUCACUAGGUCAAAGGUCAAGGUCACGGUGACCCGAAAUAGUAAAAUGGUUUCAGGAUGAUAACUCAAGAACGCUUAUGGCUAGGAUCAUGAAACUUCAUAGGUACAUUAAUCAUGACUGGCAGAUAACCCCUAUUAAUUUUGAGGUCACUAGGUCAAAGGUCAAGGUCACGGUGACCCGAAAUAGUAAAAUGGUUUCCCGAUGAUAACUCAAGAACGCUUAUGGCUAGGAUCAUGAAACUUCAUAGGUACAUUGAUCAUGACUCGAAGAUGACCCCUAUUGAUUUUCAGGUCACUAGGUCAAAGGUCAAGGUCACUGUGACAAAAAACAUAUUCACACAAUGGCUGUCACUACAACUGAGAGCCCGUAUGGGGGGCAUGCAUGUUUUACAAACAGCCCUUGUUUAUUUAUUUAUUUAUGCAUAUUAAAAUUGUGUCAUAGACUGACGCCCGUAAUAUAAAUUAUAUCGAUGUUAUAAUGAAAAAUAUUAUAAUUUGCAGUGAACGUUUUGCAUUCAGUAUUGUGUCAUAUUUAUUCUUCGUUUUAUGAUUAUGUACAUACACUUAUUAAAAUUGUGUGUUAUAAAAUGGCGCUUACAAUGUUUAUUAUAUCGAUUUAACAUUUAAAUGAUUAAAAUGGAAGUUAGAAUUUA